UGAAAGCAUCUAAGCGUGAAGCCCCCCUCAAGAUGAGAUUUCCCAUUUCUUCGGAAAGUAAGAUCCCUGAAAGAUGAUCAGGUAGAUAGGUUUGGAGUGGAAGUGUAGCGAUACAUGGAGCGGACAAAUACUAAUCGAUCGAGGACUUAACCAAAA
rnacentral:rRNA from 1 species